rnacentral:rRNA from 1 species
UACGUAGGGUGCAAGCGUUGUCCGGAAUUAUUGGGCGUAAAGGGCUCGUAGGCGGUCCAUCGCGUCGGGAGUGAAAAGCUGGGGCUUAACCCCAGUCCUGCUUCCGAUACGGGUGGACUAGAGGUAGGUAGGGGAGAACGGAAUUCCUGGUGUAGCGGUGAAAUGCGCAGAUAUCAGGAGGAACACCGGUGGCGAAGGCGGUUCUCUGGGCCUUACCUGACGCUGAGGAACGAAAGCUAGGGGAGCAAACAGG